UGUCAAGCAGAUUAAGUAUUGAUGACAAUCAGUUCAAUACUUAUUCCGCUUCUGGCAGA
rnacentral:pre_miRNA from 1 species